GCUGGGCGUGGUGGUGCACACCUGUAAUCCCAGCUACUCGGGAGGCUGAGUCAGGAGAAUGGCUUGAACCCAGGAGCCAUUGGUUGUGGUGAGCUGAGAUCGUGCCAUUGUACUCCAGCCUGGACAACAAGUGUGAAACUCCAUUUAAAAAAAAAAUUAGCUGGGCGCGGUGGCUCACGCCUGUAAUCCCAGCACUUUGGGAGGCCAAGGCAGGCGGAUCACGAGGUCAGGAGAUCAAGACCAUCCUGGCUAACACGGUGAAACCCUGUCUCU
rnacentral:sRNA from 1 species